rnacentral:sRNA from 1 species
GCACAAUAAAUUCCAUGAACUCCUGGUC